rnacentral:rRNA from 1 species
GACGAACGCUGGCGGCGUGCUUAACACAUGCAAGUCGAGCGGAAAGGCCCUGCUUGCAGGGUACUCGAGUGGCGAACGGGUGAGUAACACGUGGGUGAUCUGCCCUGCACUUCGGGAUAAGCCUGGGAAACUGGGUCUAAUACCGGAUAGGAGCCAUUUUUAGUGUGAUGGUUGGAAAGUUUUUUCGGUGUAGGAUGAGCUCGCGGCCUAUCAGCUUGUUGGUGGGGUAAUGGCCUACCAAGGCGGCGACGGGUAGCCGGCCUGAGAGGGUGGACGGCCACAUUGGGACUGAGAUACGGCCCAGACUCCUACGGGAGGCAGCAGUGGGGAAUGUUGCACAAUGGGCGCAAGCCUGAUGCAGCGACGCCGCGUGGGGGAUGACGGCCUUCGGGUUGUAAACUCCUUUCGCUAGGGACGAAGCUUUUUGUGACGGUACCUAGAUAAGAAGCACCGGCUAACUACGUG